rnacentral:rRNA from 1 species
GGGGAAUCUUCCGCAAUGGGCGCAAGCCUGACGGAGCAAGACCGCGGGCGGGAGGACGGCCUAUUGGUUGUAAACCGCUUUUGAUAGGGAAGAAGCUCUGACGGUACCUAUCGAAUCAGCAUCGGCUAACUCCGUGCCAGCAGCCGCGGUAAUACGGAGGAUGCAAGCGUUAUCCGGAAUUAUUGGGCGUAAAGCGUCCGUAGGUGGUUGUUCAAGUCUGCUGUUAAAGCGUGCGGCUUAACCGCAUACCAGCAGUGGAAACUGGGCGACUAGAGUGCGGUAGGGGUCAGGGGAAUUCCCAGUGUAGCGGUGAAAUGAGUAGAUAUUGGGAAGAACACCAGCGGCGAAAGCGCGUGACUGGGCAUGAAGGGACACCCCCCGCCGAAAGAUAGGGGAGCGAAUGGGAUUAGAUACCCCAGUAGUC